GAUAACGAAUUGGAAAAGAUCACAAGGAGGUUCACCAUGGAGCUAGCAAAGAAGGGCUUUAUUGUCUUUGUAUCCAGACAAUUCUAGCCUCAUGGAAUGAGUUGAGGAGUGUUCCUUCCUCUUCUGUUUUUGGAAAAGCUUUUGAAAG